AGAAAUUGGAGAUAUAUGGGGGUUCACUCUUCUUGUUCUGUGCUACUAAAGUGUAACUCGACAAGGCACCAGAACUGACUCAAGCCAAAGGCAGUAAUCAGAAAAAUGCAUAAAGGUAAACGAGUGUUUAAUACUUAUUUAGCACUACCAUUCUGAGUCAUCAAAAUCUAAGCCAUCACAAGGGAAAAGCUAGAUGACAGGUGAGUCAGUUAUUGUUUUAAAAUCAGCAAGCUCUUCACUCUACAACUCCAGCUUUUGCCUGCACCACAAAGAAGUACACCACGUCUGCCAUAAUUCAAGGAAAUCAUAGCCAGCUCUACAAAACUGAUUCAGGAAAAUAGAGCUCUCAAAAGGCAAAAGCUAGAUGAUGCAACAUAAAGACAGCAUGUUGAUUCUCUCAACGACAACAACAAAACAAGUCAACAACAACAACGGAUAAAACCUCUGUGAUGAACAGAAGAGGACGUUUUUUUCAGGACGUCUUCAGCUCUCAUCUGAGUUGACGAGAAACUCUACAACCAGAAAAAGAUUCUAUGAAACAGCUCUCUACAAAAAACAACUCAUCACCCGGGAGAAGAAGCUUAAUCGUUGAGGCUAAGACUCCAUGUUGUUCGAACAAAUGAUGGAGGUUCAGUUUCUUCUCAUUAAUGUUAGGGAUGAUGUCACCCAAACGGUGGAAAUCCCCUCUUCUUGCACUGUGCUACUGAAGUGGAACUCGACAAGGCAUGUGAACAAAAAGGUACCAGUCAUUGCUUCAUGCCAACAAUUCCCUUCCACAGAUGGAAUGUGACUGAGAUAUGCCAUAGGUUUGAAGAAUGAAGAAGAUUGUGACUGAGUAACAACAUCAAAUUUUCUAGUUAUAGAUGUCUUUCACUCAAUACGUCUGCAAGAGAGGUUGAUCACAUUGCUUGUGUUGCAUUUGAUUUUGGGAAGCAAAGGUGCGGUAAACUUUGUUCAGUUGACAAGGCUACAACUAUCUUGGAGGGAUCGCUGUUGUGGAGGAAAAUAGUCAUAUCAAUGGCUUCAGAGUAUACUGAGGUUGAAGCGAGUCAUCUCUUGAUUGACACUGCUAUGAUGGAUCUUGUUCGGCAGUUCGAUACCAUUCUCAUUCUGACUGGGAUGAUUUUUGCUGAUAUUCUUUCUGAUGUCGUGGCCAGAGGUUCUCCCAAUUACCAAAAAUGUGCUUCAGCGAGCUGGAUCAUUGGAAGGGACUGGAAUUUAGCUUACGGGAGAUGCCUAUUGGAAGAGCUGCUCUGGGAGUUCCCUUUCCGGAGGAGACCAUCGCAGCUGCAAAAGAAUCAGAUGUACAAGUGGGAUAACAGUGAAAAGCAUUUGAGGCGUGAGAAGGGGAUACUUCAGCUUCGUGAAGGGGAUACUUCAGCUUCGUGCAGGUCUUAAAGUCUUUGCAAAUCUGAGACCUGCUACAGUUGUGCCAUAGUUAGUGGAUGCUUCCGCCUUGAAGAGAGAGGUAGCAGAAGGUGUUGAUCUUAAAUAUUGUAAAAGAUCUUACACGAGAGCCAAGGGGCAUAAAGACCAAUGAAAAUGGCGAAGAAGUUGUGUUUAACAGUGAGGUUUAUGCAGAUUGAAAAUCUCAGAUACAGAUUUCCGUGGAUAGAUUGCCACUUUUUAAUGGAUGGAACGAGUAACAACACUAGCCUCUGAAUAUGUUGAUGUUGACAAUGCUGCGAUGCAGCUUGUUCGUGACCCCAAACAGUUUACACCAUUGCUACAAACAACAAAUUAGGUGAUAUAUUAUUAUCCGGUGAAGCUUCAAUGAAUCACAUGAAACAUUGGAAUGCUGCCAUCUUCUAGUCUCAGUGAUUCGCGACCUGGACUCUUUGAACCUUUACAUGGUUCUGCACCUGAUAUUGCUUGACAGGAUAAGACGAACCAAUUGGCAACCAUGCUCAGCGCUACAAUGCUUCUGAAAUACGGACUUGGAGAAGAAAAGGCAGUCUUUUAAAGAUACAUCUAACUCUGCGCAGGAUGAUUAUAUGUCGAAUGCUUUUUACUUUAGAUGUUCAGUGGAUCUAGUACAGCCUUGUGCUGCUGGUCCGAUAGAGCAACCUACUUGCCUAUUUUGUCUUGGUAAAGUCUUAACCUUUAAAUUAUUCAAAUGUAUGCAGAAAUAUGGCUUAGUGUAGCGAUAGAAAGUGUGAGUACAGGUAUUAUUACUAAGAUUGACAGUAACUCUUUACUAUGUAGUCCAAACAGAUGCAGUUACUAGGUAGUAGACCUGCCUCAUUGUUCCUUGAAACAUUUGAAUAUGUAACCUCUUCACUUUUUUUUCUCCCAAAAGAAGUGUAGUCACAGACUGGCAUCCCCACAAUGAUCCGUCACAUUUGCGAUUAACAAUGUUUUUUUAUAUUUUUAUACAUGAAUGAAUUAUUUAGGGCUUAGUUAGAGACAACUUGGUCUCCUCUUAUUAUAUUAAUAAUCACCUGAAGAACAAGUCCGAGGAGGUCUUGUGUGUUCGUGGACACGAGGACUGACGAUGAUUUGAUUCGACUCAGAACAAACACGGUCGCUGGUGUGCGUGUUCGGUGACUCAAACUAAUCAAUUACAAAACAAAAGGAGUGCAGGAUUAGGGUUAAAAACGUAGCUAGCACUACCAGAGGUUUGUGUCUGUGGCUGGGUGUUCCCAAACCAGGACAAUGACCCAUACUUCUCCAAGGACGUACGAAAGCAUCAAGGAUUAUCACUGAGAGGGAGAGGACUUAUCUUUGAUAGGCUUCCUGCUAGUUCCAAUUCUGACAUGACAAGUGAUCCUGGUGUUGUGACUUAUGAUGAAGAUAUUAUUAGUGAUGAUGCUGAAUCGUGGACCCAAAUGAUGUUGAAAUCCUCUUCACUGUACUAGUCAAGUGGAAACUCGGCGACAAGGCACCAGAAUUCAGUUCAAAACCCUUGAUUUUACUGAGCUAAAUGGAGUCCAGAAGCAGGUCUAUUGUUAACUUAUAAAUCGUAAUGCAAUUUUCAGAUACUCGAAGAGCACGGCCUGUGAUGUAGUCAAGAAGCAGGUUUGCAUGAAGAAUGAAGAAGAUUCGUAACCAAUAAGGUAACAACGUCAAACUGAUUCUUCUUUUUAAAUGGGAGUCAAGAAGCAGGUUUGCCUGAAAAGUUUGACGCUAAGUAUAAGAUCGGAGAUAUGCUAUGGGUCUGUUUAAAUGGAGUCAAGAAGCAGGUAUAUCGUGUUUUAUUUGUUUCUGUUUUUUUUUUAAUCAACAGUGUAACAAGAAUCUCAGGGUUUAUUGCAUAAAUUGGAUGUGUUUAAAAAAAGCUUGAAGCUAAGUUUAAGGUCCGAGUGAUGAGUUAAAGAUAUGCGUACUAAAGAAUCGAGUCCAGAAGGAAGUAUAUUGUGUUUUAUUUAGAAGCAAGUAUAUUGUGUUUUAUUUGUUUUUUGUUUUUUAACCAACACUGUAACAAGAAUCUCAGGUUUUGUUUCGUUUUGCAGGUUUGCAUGAAAAGCUUGAAGCUAAGUAAAAUAUAUUACGGAAGCUUCUUCUAAUUCUCUAUUCUUGUGCAGAUGGGUGAUAUGCUAUGAGUUUGAAGAAUGAAGAAGAUUCAGAACCAAAAAGAUACUCGGAAGAGCACGAACUGUUAAGCGAGCUAAUAAGCAGUUUAACCUUUUGAUCAUUCAUCCGGGAGCUUACUGGACAAGGUGAGGAAGUUCGCUUUUGUACCAUGUCCUAUUAUGCAAGUGAGGUUGAUCACAUUGCUCGUGUUGCAUUUGAUUUUGGGAAGCAAAGGUGCGGUAAACUUUGUUCAGUUGACAAGGCUACUAGUAUCUUGGAGGUAAAUUCUUGAUAACUGCCGGAGGUUCUCCCAAUUGCCUAAAUUGGGCCUCAGCUAGCUGGAUCUUUGGAAGGUCUUUGUGUUCGUGUUCCAGCCAGGACGGACGAUGCUUUCUUGUCUCAGAACACAAAAACGGUCGCCGGCGUGUUCUUACAGUAAAACAACAUCAAACUUGAUUAAAAGCUAAUCUAGGGCAAUGAGUGUUAAAAACGUAGCUACCACUACCAAUCUGAUUCAGCAAAGGCGACAAGAGAGCAAAACAAGUCAGAGGUCUGUGUCUGUGUUCGUGUUCCAACCAGGAACAUGACUCAGAUUUUUUCAAGGACGUACGAAGUAGAUUCAGAACAAAAACGGGCGCCGGCGUGUUAUUACAAUAUAGAUCGGAUAUAUGCUUUGAUUUGAAGAUUGAAGAACAUUCUGAACCAAACAAAAGCAAACCUUCCCCCAACGGUAACAACGUCAAACAUAGAGGUGAUGAUCAGAAAAAGACGUUGUUUUCGUGGUAUUGCUUCAACUCUCAUCUGAUUUGGCCAGAAACUCCACAAUGACAAAAAAGAUUCUGUGAAACAUCUCUCCACAUAAACAACUCAUCACCGGAGGAGAGAAGAAGCUCAGUCGUCGACGCAAAGACAGCUCAGUCGUCGACGCAAAGACUUUAUUACUUUUUCCGAACAAGUCAGGCAAGUCGUCUCAUUACUCAACAAGAUACUUCGCUUCAGUAGUUCUCCAUCCAUAAGGAUGAUGCUGAACUAUGCCCCAAUUGAUGGAAAAUAACCUCUUCUUAUUGUUCUGUGCUACUGAAGUGGAACUCGACAAGGCACCAGCAUUGUCUCAAACCAAUGGAAGUAACCAGAAAAAUGUAUAAAGGUAGUUGACAUUCACGUGUCUCUUGUUAUAGUUUUUCUUAUUUGUUGAUUCAAUGCAGGGAAAUGACUGUUGAAAACGUAGCUAGCACUACCAAUCGGACUCAGCAAAAUCAAAGCCAUCGCAAGGUACACUCCCGGAGGAGAAUAGAAAAGUGGUUUAUGUCCAAGAGAAAAAGUACAGACAAAACCGAACAACACUAGACAUCAGAAGAAGAAAAAGACAAGAGAAAGUAAGACAAAAUCGAGUAGCAUUCACAGAUAAUCAGAAGAAGAGGAAAACCGAACAACAUUGACACGCUUAACACGUAGACAUGAUAAGAACACGUGGAAGCCCCAAAAGACUCUUUGCCUUUACACGUGGACAUGAGAAGAACACUUUGAGUUGACACCCAAAGAGUGUUCGUCUUAACUCUAACCGACGUGACCCUCACAAAUCUCAAUUCAGUUAUACGAAAAUCGGAAUUCACCAAAUAUCUCGGCCACGAUUUUAGAAGAAUAAAAAUAAGAACAUCCUAAUCAUGCCCUCACUCGGCCAACUGGCGAAGCACUUGAUGAAUGAUGACUGUAUAAAUUGAAUUAAACAUUUCCUUGUUGGAAAUGAUAAGAAUAUAACAGAGAAACAAAGAGGAGAAUCACAGUUUCUAUUUUUGAUUGAUCUAUCUCCAGGCCAGAUGAUUCGAUUCGACUCAGCCAUAUAGUUUCAAAAUUUUUGCAUGAGUUUACAAAACUCAUUCAAAUGA